rnacentral:rRNA from 1 species
AUGGUGGAAGGUUCAGCGAACGACAUCAUGAACCUGAAGUUCCUCCUGCUAUGCUUUCAGCAGAUGUCUGGCCUCAGGAUCAACUUCGAUAAGAGUGCGGUCAUGGUGUUGGGAUACACCCAAGACGAAUGCCAGAGCAUCGCUGACCGCCUAAACUGCCAGCUUGGGUGCUUUCCCACAACUUAUUUGGGAAUCCCCAUUAGUGACACGAGGCUCACGGUGGCUGAGCUGUGCCCCACGGUGGGGAAGCUCGACCACCGCAUCGAACCUUGGUAGGGCCGCUGGCUCUCUAAGGCCGCCUGGACGGUGCUCAUUAACUCGUCCCUCUCCAGCUUGCUCCUAUUCAUCAUGAGUUUCUACAGCCUACCUGAGACGUUGCACCAUGAGAUUGCCACAAUCCAGGGACGCUUCAUCUGGGCUAGUGAGGGCGACAAGCAAAAAUACCACAUGGUGUGGUGGUCAGAGAUCUGCAAGCCUCGCCAUCAGGGCGGUCUCGGGAUCAUGUCCUCCAAGCGCAUGAACAUAGCCCUCCUGACUAAGUGGCUGUGGAGGAUUGCGAACGGAGAGGGUGGAUUGUGGCUGCACAUCAUCCAACAUAAAUACCUCCGUGGCCAGCCUCUCGCCUUCUGCUAG